ensembl:lncRNA PCED1B-AS1 PCED1B antisense RNA 1
GUGCUGGGAUUACAGGCGUGAGUCACCGCACCUGGCCAUAAGGUUGUUUUGUCAAGGAAGAUAGAAACAGCUUAAUAUUUUUGGAUGUGUGCUGUUCUUCCUUUCUUACUUUAUUAGAUAAACAUCCAUCGAGUGCUCCUUCGGUCAGGCACAGUGCUUAGCACCUGAGAUAUGAGGUUGAGUAGGAUAUGGUCUUCUCUAUGUUCUGUAGCUCACAGUGCAGGGAGGGAAAAACACAGAAGCAGAUAACUAGAAUUCAAUGUUGGGAGUGCAUUUAUGGCUUUAUGUUAGAGUAUCACUUCUAUUACUGAAAAGGGAUUUUUAAAAUUCUACUGAAAACAUGAAAAUGAAAAUAGCGCCAUGAAAAGUAGCUUCUAGUCAUAUUCUUUUAUGAUGAAUAUUUGCUUUGCAUAUACGAUUGGCCCAUAUUGCAUCAUUUGUUUUAUAAAUUAAUCGUAUAUCACUAUUCCAUUUUACCGGUAAAAUAGUAGGCUUUUAAGUAUUUUUCCCAAUUAUCACUUACAAAAAUAUUGUUACAGCUUACUUUUUUUGACCUUCCUUUUUCUUUUAGGGUGCUCUUUUCCUUAACAUAGUUUGUUGUUGUGUCUCUGAAAUAUAUUUAUUUAUUAUUAUUACUUUUUUCAGACAGAGUGUUGCUCAGUUACCCAGGCUGGAGUGCAAUGGCAUGAUCUUGGCUCACUGCAGCCUCCACCUCCUGGGUUCAAGCGGUUCUCGUGCCUCAGUCUCCCAAGUAGCUGGGAUUACAGGUAUGCACCACCAUGCCCAGCCAAUUUUGUAUUUUUAGUAGAGGCAGGGUUUCACCAUGUUGGCUAAGCUGGUCUUGAACUCCUGACCUCAGGUGAUCUACCUGCUUCAGCCUCUCAGAGUGCUGGGAUUACAGGCAUGAGCCACCAAGCCCGGCCUGAAAUACAUUUAAAUAAAUGAAGAUGGAGAAUCAGACAUUACUUUCAUUUAUCUGAAUCUGGUGUAGUUUAAUUAAUCUGUAAUUGUAAGUCUUUGAAUCAUAUGUCAAUAUUCUAUUUUGUUAGUCAUGAUUUCUAAGUGUUACAUAACUGUGGCCCCAGCCACUUUAUAUUUUGGUAUCAUGACAGAAGACUCUGAUUGUGGUUAUUUUCUACCUAUGCAUUUAUUCUUAGUGAUAUAUGUUGGUUAAAUUAUGGCAUAGUUUUAAAAUACAUGACAAAAAUAGCUAACAGUAAAGAAAUGUCUUUGUUUCUGGUUGAAUAAACUGACCACGCAAGGUUCCAAUUUAAAAUAAAUUCUAAACGAAUCAUGUUAUUUUCCAAAACUGUUCCUCCUCUCAGUAAAUGAAAUCAAUAUCCACCCGGUUACCCCAAGACAGAAAUCUCAAGAUCAUCUGUGACUCCUUCCUCUUCAUCUGCCACAAGAAGAGUAGCUUCUAUCUCCAAAGCUAGUCUCUGAUCAGUCUACUUCUCUUCCUAUAGCCUCUGCUUUAGUUCAAAUCUAGAAUCCUGCUGUGGUGGUGCUGUGGCUUCCAAGUUCAUCUUCUUCCAAUCCGUUCUCUAAACUACAGUCUUGCUCUUUCUAAGACUCAGAUCUUAUAAUUUUACUUCCCUUCAUAGGUUGAAUUUAACCUGCUAAAUCACAUAAAAUUUUUCUGAAGAUACCAGCCUUUCUGCCUUAAUCAAACACAUUAGCCAAAUCCAUAGCAUUACUGGGAUAAAGCCUGAAGAUCCCAAAUUGAUAAGGCAUCUGGAUUCCCUUUGAUAACAGUAUUCAAUAACAAUGAACACCUACUGAGUAUACUAUUCCAAGCAUUUAAAGUGUAUCAACUCUUUUCACAAAAUCAACAAUAAUUAUUAUUGCUACCAUUUAUUGAGAGUCUACUUUAAUCCAGGUGUUACAUAUUCAUGUAUUCAUUAUUAUUACCUUUUUUUUUGAGACGAAAUCUUGCUCUGUUGCCCAGGCUGGAGUGCGAUGGCAUGAUCUUGGCUCACGGCAAACUCCGCCUCCCUGGUUCAAGUGAUUCUCCUGCCUCAGCCUCCCGAGUAGCCGGGAUUACAGGCAUGUGCCACCAUGCCCCGUUGGCCAGGCUGGUCUCGAACACCUUACCUCAGGUGAUCCUCCCACCUUUGGGAUUACAGCAGGCUGAGGAAUUACCAAGGAGGCAGGAGGUGGAGCAAAACACACCAAGCCUGGUGCCAAUCAUUGACAAUAUUAUGACCCUGCAUGUGAUGGAUCAGCUGACACCAUCCAGAUCGGUAAACUGGUUCAUCUGAUCUUGUGCCCUCCACCCAGGAACUGACUCAGCGCAAGAAGACAGCUUCGACUCCUUGUGAUUUCAUCCCUAACCAAUCAGCACUCCUGGCUCACUGGCUUCCCCCAACCCACCAAAUUGUCCUUAAAAACUCUGCUCUCCAAACGCUGGGGGAGACUGAUUUGAGUAAUAAUAAAACCCUGGUCUCCUGCA